CCUACGGGAGGCAGCAGUGGGGAAUAUUGCACAAUGGGGGAAACCCUGAUGCAGCGACGCCGCGUGAGUGAAGAAGGAUUUCGGGAUGGAAAGCUCUAUCAGCAGGAACGAGACAAGAGGGAAGCGGACGAAGAAGCACGGGCUAACUGAGUGACAGCAGCCGCGGUACUACGUAGGUGGCUAGCGUUAUCCGGAAUCCCGGGGGGUAAAGGGAGCGUAGACGGCUGAGCAGGCCGGAAGUGAAAGGCGGAGGCCCAACCCCCGGACUGCUGUGGUAACGGUACGGCUGGAGUGCAGGAGGGGUAAGUGGAAUUCCUAGUGUAGCGGUGAAAUGCGUAGAUAUUAGGAGGAACCCCAGUGGCGCAGGCGGCUUACUGGACUGUAACUGACGUUGAGGCUCGAAAGCGUGGGGAGCAAACAGGAUUAGAUACCCUUGUAGUC
rnacentral:rRNA from 1 species